rnacentral:lncRNA from 1 species
AAGCCAGGCCACCUGACAACAGAGCAGUAAGCACCUGCGGAGGGAGGAGAAACGCUGAGCUAAGACGGGGUCGCGGCUGGGGAGUCUGUGGGGCGGUCUGCACAGGUCUGACUUCUCUGGUCUCGGUGUUCUUCCGUCCUGUCAUGGGGGAGAAUUCUGUCCAUGGCACCCCCUUUGAAGCAUAACCCAUGUUGGGGAGGCCGUGAGGGGUUUCUAGGAGAGAAAGGACCAAGAAGCAGAAUCGCAGGCCCCGGAUCUCCCUGACUCCGCCUGAGCUGCUCAGCAGCUUGGCAUCACAAACCUUUUGCACAUUACAGCCAUUCAGCCUCUGAGCUAAAGAGGAAGCUACCACAGGCCCACCACUGACUCUUCUAAGGAAAAGCUGCAUUUUCAAAAGUUCCAGAUGAAAGCCUGAAACUGGAAAGAUGAAGCAACUUGCCCAAGAACUUAGCAUUACUGAGGGUUACAGUGAGGACCUGACUUCAGGCCCCAAGACCAAAAUUGCCUCUUUACCACCCUGCCUCUAGAGUAAUAGAGGUGGAGACAUUCUGGGUGUUAGAAGAGUGGAAUCUGGUGCUUACGCUUCGACAGAGCCCACUCUUACUGAAGCAGCCGUAUCUCCAGCCCAUCAAGGAGAUGAGGAUAGCUGCAGUGAGUACCUGCAGGAGAGAGAAGAAUGUUGAGAUGGGGAAAUCGACUUUGCCGGCUGUUUCUAGGUGCUGCCCACAGCUGUUAGAGUGGCUGGCAGCUCACAUGAACGCAGUCGUCCUGUUGACUCUGACUCUGGGGACCCACAUUUGUAUGACGAGCCUGAUCUAACGCUGUGGAUGUUAACUUUCACACCCGACCUGCCUGGUCCCAAGCUAGGCUUCCUGUCUCUUAGAGCUUCUACAGACCCAAGAUCAGCUUGUUAGAAUAAACUUUUCUGCAAGGAAUCAAAACACUCUUCCCAUGCCACCUUCCUGCUCCCCGCCGGGGUCUCUUUGAGAGUUCACGUUCAGGGAACCCCGGACACUUACCAUGAGGCCUCCUCCCCAGAGCCCAGUUCCCAGCAUGGCAUGCCUGCCAAGGAGGCCCCUCAACAGGUAGGUGACAUCCCAGUUAGGAAGGAGGAGUGCCACGUUGGCCCCAGCAGCAAACAGGGCUGCAGUCCCAAGGCUCAGUCCCAGGAUACGGGAGCAAGUCCGUGAGCUUGCCGGCGUGCAGGGAGAGGACACCAUCCUGGAACAGAUAGAAAGGGAGUCGCGGCAGCUCUGCUGUGGGGGGAUGGGGAAGGGAACUCCAGCAGCAUAUCAUGGGUGAGGGAAACAGACUACAGAAACCGCCACCUUCCAGGGUCAGACCAAUGAGAGCCAAGCAACCUGCUUAAAAACUCUGCUCCUUAGGAAUCUUCCCCAGUGACUAGGAUUUAAUUGUUUCCUUUUCUGCUAACCCCUGUUCACACAUACAUAGUUUGC